CACAGGUCAAUGACUACAUUUUUGUUUUACAUUUUCAUUGUAAGUGGGCUAAAGCAGUUAAUUAAAAGUAGUCUAACAUAAAUGUAAAUGCUGUAAUUUGAUCCGCCUCCGUUAACGCUGUACUUCCGGGCUCUUUGUAGGCGUGUCAUUUCCUCCAUCCCCUCUCUUCGACUUACCCGUUAAGAAAAGUAACCACAAAAAAAAAUAAAAAAAAAAAAAAAAUGCACCGCCCACAUCGUGAGUAGCGCACAUUAUGCUGUGGUAUAUAUGUGCGCUGCUCCGGAGGAAAGAAACACUCUACUCCUUCGUUCUCAGGAUGGAUCCUUGGAGCUAUUUCCCCGUUCUUAUUUGUAUCAGCCAAGAACUAUUUGGAAAGUCGAUCCAAGCUCCUAAAUCUGGGGUUUCCUUUAAAGUAACUGUGGAAGAAGGUCAAUAACCAAUAAAUCUGUGUCUGCAAGGUGGGAGAAAAAAACGAAGGUUGUAGUUGAGCGCAAUUCCCACGAAGAAGAAAGAAACGAAAUUAAUAGCCGAUUCUCUGUGUCACCUGAAUGGGUCGGGGAUGGAAGAUUUGUUUUAACAGUGAAACAGGUUAAGAAAGAAGAUCGAGGACGUUGUUUCUGCACCAGUGCUGUGUGAGUCUGCACCAUUGACUGUAGAAAACUUUCUACAGUCAAUGGUCUGCACAAGAGCACGGAGGAGAAAAGCAAACGAGAGACACCUAUCUGAGCAGAUAGGUGUGGCACGAAAACGAGAAGAGCAGCGUGGAAUUCAGAGCAUGUGUAUAGCAGACCGACACAGAAACUCCAGCCGAACAUCGACAAGAAACGCGAGUAGCUGUCAGCAGAGGAGGAAUUUGGACUGCCAGCCUGAUCCCAGUCAGUCCUGUGGAGGAGAAGAUUUGAAGUGUCGGCCUUGUGGGCUGGAUGCUGGUGAACCACCCA